rnacentral:rRNA from 1 species
AUUGAACGCUGGCGGCAGGCCUAACACAUGCAAGUCGAGCGGCAGCGACUUAACUGAACCUUCGGGGAACGUUAAGGGCGGCGAGCGGCGGACGGGUGAGUAAUGCCUGGGAAUAUGCCCUGAUGUGGGGGAUAACUAUUGGAAACGAUAGCUAAUACCGCAUAAUCUCUUCGGAGCAAAGAGGGGGACCUUCGGGCCUCUCGCGUCAGGAUUAGCCCAGGUGGGAUUAGCUUGUUGGUGAGGUAAUGGCUCACCAAGGCAACGAUCCCUAGCUGGUCUGAGAGGAUGAUCAGCCACACUGGAACUGAGACACGGUCCAGACUCCUACGGGAGGCAGCAGUGGGGAAUAUUGCACAAUGGGGGAAACCCUGAUGCAGCCAUGCCGCGUGUGUGAAGAAGGCCUUCGGGUUGUAAAGCACUUUCAGUAGGGAGGAAGGUAGUGUAGUUAACACCUGCACUAUUUGACGUUACCUACAGAAGAAGCACCGGCUAACUCCGUGCCAGCAGCCGCGGUAAUACGGAGGGUGCGAGCGUUAAUCGGAAUUACUGGGCGUAAAGCGCAUGCAGGCGGCCUGUUAAGUCAGAUGUGAAAGCCCGGGGCUUAACCUCGGAAUUGCAUUUGAAACUGGCAGGCUAGAGUCUUGUAAGGGGGGUAGAAUUUCAGGUGUAGCGGUGAAAUGCGUAGAGAUCUGAAGGAAUACCAGUGGCGAACGCGGCCCCCUGGACAAAGACUGACGCUCAAUGCGAAACGUGGGGAGCAAACAGG